rnacentral:rRNA from 1 species
AUUGAACGCUGGCUGCAGGCCUAACACAUGCAAGUCGAGCGGUAGCACAGAGAGCUUGCUCUCGGGUGACGAGCGGCGGACGGGUGAGUAAUGUCUGGGAAACUGCCUGAUGGAGGGGGAUAACUACUGGAAACGGUAGCUAAUACCGCAUAACGUCGCAAGACCAAAGUGGGGGACCUUCGGGCCUCAUGCCAUCAGAUGUGCCCAGAUGGGAUUAGCUAGUAGGUGGGGUAACGGCUCACCUAGGCGACGAUCCCUAGCUGGUCUGAGAGGAUGACCAGCCACACUGGAACUGAGACACGGUCCAGACUCCUACGGGAGGCAGCAGUGGGGAAUAUUGCACAAUGGGCGCAAGCCUGAUGCAGCCAUGCCGCGUGUGUGAAGAAGGCCUUCGGGUUGUAAAGCACUUUCAGCGGGGAAGAAGGCGGUGAGGUUAAUAACCUUGUCGAUUGACGUUACCCGCAGAAGAAGCACCGGCUAACUCCGUGCCAGCAGCCGCGGUAAUACGGAGGGUGCAAGCGUUAAUCGGAAUUACUGGGCGUAAAGCGCACGCAGGCGGUCUGUCAAGUCGGAUGUGAAAUCCCCGGGCUCAACCUGGGAACUGCAUUCGAAACUGGCAGGCUAGAGUCUUGUAGAGGGGGGUAGAAUUCCAGGUGUAGCGGUGAAAUGCGUAGAGAUCUGGAGGAAUACCGGUGGCGAAGGCGGCCCCCUGGACAAAGACUGACGCUCAGGUGCGAAAGCGUGGGGAGCAAACAGGAUUAGAUACCCUGGUAGUCCACGCCGUAAACGAUGUCGAUUUGGAGGUUGUGCCCUUGAGGCGUGGCUUCCGGAGCUAACGCGUUAAAUCGACCGCCUGGGGAGUACGGCCGCAAGGUUAAAACUCAAAUGAAUUGACGGGGGCCCGCACAAGCGGUGGAGCAUGUGGUUUAAUUCGAUGCAACGCGAAGAACCUUACCUGGUCUUGACAUCCACAGAACUUUCCAGAGAUGGAUUGGUGCCUUCGGGAACUGUGAGACAGGUGCUGCAUGGCUGUCGUCAGCUCGUGUUGUGAAAUGUUGGGUUAAGUCCCGCAACGAGCGCAACCCUUAUCCUUUGUUGCCAGCGGUUAGGCCGGGAACUCAAAGGAGACUGCCAGUGAUAAACUGGAGGAAGGUGGGGAUGACGUCAAGUCAUCAUGGCCCUUACGACCAGGGCUACACACGUGCUACAAUGGCAUAUACAAAGAGAAGCGACCUCGCGAGAGCAAGCGGACCUCAUAAAGUAUGUCGUAGUCCGGAUUGGAGUCUGCAACUCGACUCCAUGAAGUCGGAAUCGCUAGUAAUCGUAGAUCAGAAUGCUACGGUGAAUACGUUCCCGGGCCU